UACGUAGGGGGCAAGCGUUGUCCGGAAUCAUUGGGCGUAAAGCGCACGUCGGCGGCCCGGUAAGUCCGUUGUGAAAGUCAGAGGCUCAACCUCUGGAGGCCAAUGGAUACUGCCGGGCUAGAGUCCGGAAGAGGCGAGUGGAAUUCCUGGUGUAGCGGUGGAAUGCGCAGAUAUCAGGAGGAACACCAAUGGCGAAGGCAGCUCGCUGGGACGGUACUGACGCUGAGGUGCGAAAGCGUGGGGAGCGAACAGG
rnacentral:rRNA from 1 species